AUUGAACGCUGGCGGCAGGCCUAACACAUGCAAGUCGAGCGAGCGGCGGACGGGUGAGUAAUGUAUGGGGACUGCCCGAUCGAGGGGGAUAACUACUGGAAACGGUAGCUAAUACCGCAUACUAUCGGAUAACCCAUAUGGGAUUAGCUAGUAGGUGAGGUAAUGGCUCACCUAGGCGACGAUCCCUAGCCGGACUGAGAGGAUGAUCAGCCACACUGGGACUGAGACACGGCCCAGACUCCUACGGAGGCAGCAGUGGGGAAUAUUGGACAAUGGGCGAAAGCCUGAUGCAGCCAUGCCGGGUGUGUGAAGAAGGCCCUAGGGUUGUAAAGUACUUUCAGUAGGGAGGCGUUACCGACAGAAGAAGCAACGGCUAACGACGUGCCAGCAGCCGCGGUAAUAC
rnacentral:rRNA from 1 species